rnacentral:rRNA from 1 species
UACGGAGGGGGGCUAGCGUUGUUCGGAAUUACUGGGCGUAAAGCGCGCGUAGGCGGACCUGCAAGUCGGGGGUGAAAGCCCGAGGCUCAACCUCGGAACUGCCUUCGAUACUGCGGGUCUCGAGUCCGGGAGAGGUGAGUGGGAAUUCCUAGUGUAGAGGUGAAAUUCGUAGAUAUUAGGAAGAACACCAGUGGCGAAGGCGGCUCACUGGCCCGGUACUGACGGCCUGAGG